AUANUGCAAGUCGAGCGAAUGAUUGGGAGCUUGCUCCCAUGAUUUAGCGGCGGACGGGUGAGUAACACGUGGGCAACCUACCUGUAAGACUGGGAUAACUUCGGGAAACCGGAGCUAAUACCGGAUAAUUUCUUUUCUCGCAUGAGAGAAGAUGGAAAGACGGUUUCGGCUGUCACUUACAGAUGGGCCCGCGGCGCAUUAGCUAGUUGGUGAGGUAAUGGCUCACCAAGGCCACGAUGCGUAGCCGACCUGAGAGGGUGAUCGGCCACACUGGGACUGAGACACGGCCCAGACUCCUACGGGAGGCAGCAGUAGGGAAUCUUCCGCAAUGGACGAAAGUCUGACGGAGCAACGCCGCGUGAGCGAAGAAGGCCUUCGGGUCGUAAAGCUCUGUUGUUAGGGAAGAACAAGUACCAGAGUAACUGCUGGUACCUUGACGGUACCUAACCAGAAAGCCACGGCUAACUACGUGCCAGCAGCCGCGGUAAUACGUAGGUGGCAAGCGUUGUCCGGAAUUAUUGGGCGUAAAGCGCGCGCAGGUGGUUCUUUAAGUCUGAUGUGAAAGCCCACGGCUCAACCGUGGAGGGUCAUUGGAAACUGGGGAACUUGAGUGCAGAAGAGGAAAGUGGAAUUCCACGUGUAGCGGUGAAAUGCGUAGAGAUGUGGAGGAACACCAGUGGCGAAGGCGACUUUCUGGUCUGUAACUGACACUGAGGCGCGAAAGCGUGGGGAGCGAACAGGAUUAGAUACCCUGGUAGUCCACGCCGUAAACGAUGAGUGCUAAGUGUUAGAGGGUUUCCGCCCUUUAGUGCUGCAGCUAACGCAUUAAGCACUCCGCCUGGGGAGUACGGCCGCAAGGCUGAAACUCAAAGGAAUUGACGGGGGCCCGCACAAGCGGUGGAGCAUGUGGUUUAAUUCGAAGCAACGCGAAGAACCUUACCAGGUCUUGACAUCCUUUUGCCCUCCCUAGNGAUAGGGACUUCCCUUCGGGGACAAAAGUGACAGGUGGUGCAUGGUUGUCGUCAGCUC
rnacentral:rRNA from 1 species